CCUACGUGAGGUAGCAGUGAGGAAUAUUGGUCAAUGGGCGCUAGCCUGAACCAGCCAAGUCGCGUGAAGGAUGACUGCCCUAUGGGUUGUAAACUUCUUUUCUAUGGGAAUAAAGUGCAGUAUGUAUACUGCUUUGCAUGUACCUUAUGAAUAAGGAUCGGCUAACUCCGUGCCAGCAGCCGCGGUAAUACGGAGGAUCCGAGCGUUAUCCGGAUUUAUUGGGUUUAAAGGGAGCGUAGGCGGGUUGUUAAGUCAGUUGUGAAAGUUUGCGGCUCAACCGUAAAAUUGCAGUUGAUACUGGCAUCCUUGAGUACAGUAGAGGUAGGCGGAAUUCGUGGUGUAGCGGUGAAAUGCUUAGAUAUUACGAAGAACACCGAUUGCGAAGGCAGCUUACUAAACUGUGACUGACAUUGAUGCUCGAAAGUGUGGGUAUCAAACAGGAUUAGAUACCCUAGUAGUC
rnacentral:rRNA from 1 species